rnacentral:rRNA from 1 species
UACGGAGGGUGCAAACGUUGCUCGGAAUCAUUGGGCGUAAAGCGCACGUAGGCGGCCUGAUAAGUCGGGUGUGAAAGCCCUGGGCUCAACCCAGGAAGUGCACUCGAAACUGUCAGGCUUGAAUAUGGAAGAGGGUCGCGGAAUUCCCGGUGUAGAGGUGAAAUUCGUAGAUAUCGGGAGGAACACCAGUGGCGAAGGCGGCGACCUGGGCCAAUAUUGACGCUGAGGUGCGAAAGCGUGGGGAGCAAACAGGAUUGAGAAACCCGGGUAGG